UACGUAGGUGGCAAGCGUUGUCCGGAUUUACUGGGCGUAAAGAGCGCGCAGGCGGUCGUUCAAGUCGCGUGUGAAAGCCCCCGGCUCAACUGGGGAGGGUCACGCGAUACUGAUCGACUCGAAGGCAGGAGAGGGAAGUGGAAUUCCCGGUGUAGUGGUGAAAUGCGUAGAUAUCGGGAGGAACACCAGAGGUGAAGACGGGUUGCUGGGCUGACACUGACGCUGAGGCGCGAAAGCCAGGGGAGCAAACGGG
rnacentral:rRNA from 1 species